GAUCUCUUUGAGGCCCGUUAUCGGAAUGAGAACAAUUCAAAUCCUUUAACGAGGAUCUAGCGGAGGGCAAGUCUGGUGCCAGCAGCCGCGGUAAUUCCAGCUCCGCAGGUGUAUAUCUAUGCUGCUGCGGUUAAAAAGCUCGUAGUUGGAUCUGCGUGCUCGGAACUGGUUGGCUCACUGAGUUCAAACUGGUCUCCGGCGCUUUAUUGGCUGGUUUUCCCUUGAUGCUCUUAACCGGGUGUCUUGGGUGGCUAGCACGUUUACUUUGAAAAAAUUAGAGUGCUCAAUACAGGCGUAAAGCCUUGAAUAGUGGUGCAUGGAAUAAUAGAAUAGGACCUCGGCUCUAUUUUGUUGGUUUUCGGAACGCGAGGUAAUGAUUAAGAGGGACAGACGGGGGCAUUCGUAUUGCGACGUUAGAGGUGAAAUUCUUGGAUCGUCGCAAGACGGACGACUGCGAAAGCAUUUGCCAAGAAUGUUUUCAUUAAUCAAGAACGAAAGUUAGAGGUUCGAAGGCGAUCAGAUACCGCCCUAGUUCUAACCGUAAACGAUGCCAACUAGCGAUUCGCAGGCGUUAAACAACGACCUUGCGGGCAGCUUCCCGGAAACGAAAGUGUUCGGGUUCCGGGGGAAGUAUGGUUGCAAAGCUGAAACUUAAAGGAAUUGACGGAAGGGCACCACCAGGAGUGGAGCCUGCGGCUUAAUUUGACCCAACACGGGAAAACUCACCCGGCCCGGACACCGUAAGGAUUGACAGAUUGAGAGCUCUUUCUUGAUUCGGUGGGUGGUGGUGCAUGGCCGUUCUUAGUUGGUGGAGCGAUUUGUCUGGUUUAUUCCGAUAACGAACGAGACUCUGGCCUACUAAAUAGUGGGCGGAUUCUUUCUGUCCGCAACACUUCUUAGAGGGACAAGCGGUGUUCAGCCGCACGAGAUUGAGCAAUAACAGGUCUGUGAUGCCCUUAGAUGUCCGGGGCUGCACGCGCGCUACACUGAAGGAAUCAGCGUGCUUUCUGACCUUGCCCGAAAGGGCUGGGUAACCCGAUGAAAAUCCUUCGUGAUUGGGAUAGGGACUUGCAAUUAUUUCCCUUGAACGAGGAAUUCCCAGUAAGUGUGGGUCAUAAGCUCGCGUUGAUUACGUCCCUGCCCUUUGUACACACCGCCCGUCGCUGCCCGGAACUGAGCCGUUUCGAGAAGAACAGGGACCGUCGUUGAAGGGCCUUAACGGGCUUUUCUCUGACAGAAACUGUUUUA
rnacentral:rRNA from 1 species